rnacentral:lncRNA from 1 species
AUCUCUGCCACAGGAGAGCAGAGAACAAAGAUUUAAAGAAUAUAUUAAUUAAUGAAGUGUCUGCCACAGGAGAACAGAUGUGACAUUGUUUGGGCCUUAGUGCCAAAUGUAAAGUGGGGACGCCCACACACUGAGAACUGUUUUCCAGAUGUACGCUUAUUGAUUUGGAAAGUCACACUGAUGCGGCCUAGCCGUACGACUUAAAGUCACACUGAUGCGGCCUGGCCGUACGACUUAUAAGCACACUGAUGCAUCUGGAAAACCAUAUCUGGGACUCGUGCCCGGGUAAUGUCGGGAGCGGGUAGGCAACCGACACAUGAGCUCAUGGCCUGCAUUAGG